rnacentral:misc_RNA from 1 species
GAAAAUGCGAUAUGCAAUGUGAAUUGCAGAACUACGAAUCAUUUGAUCUUUGAACGCAAAUUGCGCAGGCCGAAUACGCCUGCAUACUUGUUUCAGUGUGCCUAACCAAAUCUAAACAAAAUGUAAGAGAAAACUCUCUUAUCAAAUAGAUGCUCCGAGUAGCAGUCACAUUCAUAUGUGAGCUAUUCCGGUGGUUAAAUGUCUUAUUCGCACCUGAAAUCAAGUAAGAUCACCCGCUGGACUUAA